rnacentral:lncRNA from 1 species
ACCAAGCAAUAGUCAACCUUGCAGCAUGCCGACGCAUGAGGCGCCGUCCCCUUCGGCCGAGGCACACAUUCUUGGAUCUGCCUCGCAUGGGCACACAAGCUCGUAUCUUGCCGACGAUGCAGUUCUUGCACGGACGUAUGCUUAUGUUAAGGCUGGAGAUGAUCUCCGAGCUUGGGCGUGUUAUUAGGCAGAUGUUGCACUGCGAGGGGCAUGUCAUUCAAUUGUAUUGCCUGAGCUCGUGUCGCGGAAGCUUAUGCGCACUCCCUGUUGCGAGGAGUUUGGAUCCGGUCGAUGAUACAUUUCUUGCAUGGGCUCGUGCUUGUGUUGAGGCUAGAGACGAGCUGCAGUGCUCGGGCGUCCUAUGCACGUAGUUUUGAUCCUUCCGACGAUGCAAAUCUUGCACCCGCGCAU